CUCUCAAGCGUUCUUGCUUUUGUUCAUCUUUCAAAGAUCGUUCUUAAUUCGUUCUUCCGCUGUUCUUUGUGAAAACUUUAAGGGAAUUCUGUUGAAUCCUUUAUUGUUGCGAGUUGAGCUGACUUAGGCGUUUUUACGGUUGAAUCCAUUAUCGGUGGAAGUUAGGCUGACUUAGGCGUUUUUAAGCCAAGAAACUGCCUAAGGCCGCACGGAUGGGUGGGAAAACUCCAGGUCCGUGACAAGUGGUAUCAGAGCCAAGGUUUGAACCAAGUAAUAUUCGAGUUGUUGGUUCAAAGGCACCGUUGGGAUGUCGAGAGAAGAGUUCGAACAAAGGUGGGCGAGGAAAUCUUUGAAGGAGACAAUAUUGGCAGUAGAGGAACGUGUGAGUAAACUCGAGGGAUCCAUGGAGGAUGUAAAGGAGGCACUCGAUGGGGUCGAGGAUCACAUAGCAAACUGGAAGGAGCAGUCCAGAGACUAUGUAAAGAUGUCUCUUGGUUCCACCAUGGACAAGGUAAACGAGUUGUUUAAUUCACACAGGGAUAAGCUGUCGGAAAGGAAUGAUGCUCUCGAGGCCAUAAUGAUGGCUUUGAAGGAGGAAACAAUGGCCACGACGAGGGCUUUGAGCACAAGAAUAGAGGAGCUCGAGGGAGAGCUAGCCUUGUGCCAAGCAGCCGUGGGGAAAGGAGUGGCAAAUGCAGCACUCAGUAAUGAGGAUGUCCCAAAGCCGAAAGAGUUUGUGGGGACAAGGUCUGCAUGUGAUGUGGAUAAUUUCUUGUGGAGGAUGGAAAACUACUUCCGUGCCAAAGGCAUCAUGGAGGAUGCGGUUAAGGUGAACACUGCUUCAAUGUUUCUUACUGACAUUGCGCUUUUAUGGUGGCGAGGUAGGACCACAGAUAAAAGGCAAGGUGAGAUUGAGACGUGGCAAGAGUUCCAAUGCGAGUUGAAGGGACAGUUUUACCCAGAAUUUGCCGAGGAAGAAGCUCGGGCAAAGUUGCAAGAGAUAAUGCAACGGGGCACAGUGGGGGAGUAUGUUCGAGAGUUCAAGGAACUAAUGCUCCAAGUUUUAGAUGUGACCGAUGAAGAAGCAUUGCUUGCUUUUCAAAAGGGAUUGAAGCCGUGGGUCAGACAGGAGGUGGAACAAAGAGGUGUCCAAAAGCUGUCGAAAGCCAUUACGGUAGUUGAGUCCGUGGGCAAGCUUGGUUUAAGGAAAGACAAGCUUGGGUCUUCCAAGUCCAAGGAAAGGGGCGUAUGUGAAAUGAAUCACAAGGAAGAAAUUGUUGAUUGCAAUGGCCACGGCGACAAUAGUGGUAAGGGGAAACCACGAGUUGGGAAGAAGAAACCCAAGAGGAAAAGGGACAAGCUGAAAUGCUUUCUUUGCGAUGGUCCACACAUGUUAAAGAAAUGUCCGAAGAAAUCCGCGCUUAAGGAGAAGCCAGUGGGUAAGGCCUUGGUACUUGGUUCGAGCGCAAGGGGUGCCGAAGCCAAAGAGGCCAAAAGCGAGAAGAAGCCAGUGGAGUGCUUCUUGUGUCAUGGUCCGCAUAGGUUGCGGAAGUGUCCGAAGAAGUCUGUCAUCGAGGGGAACGAUGGAGCAGACAAUGAGCCCAAGAAGCUUGGUUCGAGCAAGGGAAAAGCCAAAGCCAAGAGGGCAAAGAGGAGCAAAAAGAAGCAAGUUAAGUGCUUCUUGUGCCGUGGUCCGCAUGAGUUGCGGAACUGUCCAAAGCAAGCCGGAGUCGAAAGAAAGGCAACGUCUGAGCUUGGUGAGUCGUCGAAGGGGCUUCCACCCAAGGAAGAGGUGAGUUUGUCAUCUAACUUAGUGGAGAAAGUUGCGAUGAAAACAGUGAAGCUGAGACCAAUGAGGCUCAAGUUGAGUGAAGCAUCGGAGUUGGCCGAGUCAUCGACAAGGCUUCCACCUAUGGGAGAGGUAGGUGGUGCAUCAGACUUCAAAGGAAAAGAAGCGAUGCAUGUGGGACAGUUGACCAGAGUAAAUGCGACGAGCAGGACGGCUCGAGUUAAGAAGCGACAGAAACCGAGGCAAAAAUCCCUAAGAAAGGGAAAGGCUAAGGCGACGAGACGAAACCGAGGCGAAUCAAGUCAGUGCCAUUCAGAAGUCGCAACGAGGGCGUUGCGAGAAUGGGUGGGGGAGAAUGUCACGGGCCGCAGUUCAAAGCCCGUGACAAGCGCACCAAAUGCAUCCAAUGGAGGUCUGUUGCUCAGAUGGGGAUCAUUUGGCCUACGAGAACUGGCCCAAUUCAAAGAGCUGUUGGACAGGCCUGUCACAUUGAAGCCUGAUAGGCCCGAUAAUGAAGAUAGGACUAAGUAGUCUUAGAAGUUCUAAUUGUACACAGCUUCUAAUUCUGUAAAGUUAGAGUCCUAAUUGAAUAUAGCUUUUAAUUGUAGCCAUCGGUUUUGGGGGAGCUCAACUAUAAAUAGAGAGCCUCCCCCUCAUUUGUACGGACUCCUGAAUUGUUUCAUUAUUCUUUGUGAAUAAGAAUUGAGAGCAUUUACUCAAACUUUUCUCUCAAGCGUUCUUGCUUUUGUUCAUCUUUCAAAGAUCGUUCUUAAUUCGUUCUUCCGCUGUUCUUUGUGAAAACUUUAAGGGAAUUCUGUUGAAUCCUUUAUUGUUGCGAGUUGAGCUGACUUAGGCGUUUUUACGGUUGAAUCCAUUAUCGGUGGAAGUUAGGCUGACUUAGGCGUUUUUAAGCCAAGAAACUGCCUAAGGCCGCACGGAUGGGUGGGAAAACUCCAGGUCCGUGACACUAG
rnacentral:lncRNA from 1 species